UUUUCUAUAUUGAUAAAAUAUUUUCUGCAUAAGGUGAAGUUGGUCGUCAAGUCUCACUUUCAUGUGUGGUUGAUACUGGACUAACUCGUUUGGCCACUAGGAACAUUGCUUUACCUACCAGUACCCUUUUAAGGAGCAUGCUAUAAAAAACUCAGAGGAAAAUCUUCAGAAGUUGACACAACUUUUAACUCAUCUUGGAUAUCAACAGGAAUCUAUUCAACGCUCUGCCAAUGCCCUUGAAAAUGUGAAAGAACAGUUGCCUCCACAUGA
rnacentral:misc_RNA from 1 species